GACAGAGGGUGCCAACGUUGUUCGGAAUUACUGGGCGUAAAGCGCGUGUAGGCUGCUCGGAAAGUCGGAUGUGAAAGCCCUGGGCUUAACCUAGGAAGUGCAUUCGAAACUUCCGAGCUGGAGUGCUGGAGAGGAAGGCGGAAUUCUCGGUGUAGAGGUGAAAUUCGUAGAUAUCGAGAGGAACACCGGUGGCGAAGGCGGCCUUCUGGACAGUCACUGACGCUGAGACGCGAAAGCGUGGGGAGCAAACAGG
rnacentral:rRNA from 1 species